CAGCAGCCACGGGAAUACGUAGGGUGCAAGCGUUAAUCGGAAUUACUGGGCGUAAAGCGUGCGCAGGCGGUGUUGUAAGACUGAUGUGAAAUCCCCGGGCUCAACCUGGGAACUGCAUUGGUGACUGCAACGCUGGAGUGCGGCAGAGGGGGAUGGAAUUCCGCGUGUAGCAGUGAAAUGCGUAGAUAUGCGGAGGAACACCGAUGGCGAAGGCAAUCCCCUGGGCCUGCACUGACGCUCAUGCACGAAAGCGUGGGGAGCAAACAGGAUUAGAUACCCCCGUAGUCCCUGUCUCUUAUAA
rnacentral:rRNA from 1 species